rnacentral:piRNA from 1 species
UAAGAUGGGUUGGAAAUUCCAUGC